GUGCCAGCCGCCGCGGUAAUACGUAGGUGGCAAGCGUUGUCCGGAUUUACUGGGCGUAAAGGGCGUGCAGGCGGUUUGUUUAGUCUAGGGUGAAAGCUCCCGGCUUAACUGGGAGAGGUCCUUGGAUACUGGCAAACUUGAGGGAGGCAGAGGAAAGUGGAAUUCCCGGUGUAGUGGUGAUAUGCGUAGAUAUCGGGAGGAACACCAGUGGCGAAGGCGGCUUUCUGGGCCUUACCUGACGCUGAGACGCGAAAGCGUGGGGAGCGAACCGGAUUAGAUACCCCCGUAGUCC
rnacentral:rRNA from 1 species